AUGGCCUCCUUAGGGCUGGGAUGGGAACUGAGAAUCAUUUGAGGGCUUAACAGGUGAUUUUGGAGGCCCCAGUCCCCACCCUAUGGGAGCAGAGUGAGGUGGUCUGACAAGGUGCUUCCUUCCCGGUGAGCAGGAGAUCGGGAGGAUCUCCAUUGAGAUGCACGGGACCCUGGAGGACCAGCUCAGCCACCUGCGGCAGUAUGAGAAGAGUAUCGUCAACUACAAGCCAAAGAUUGAUCAGCUGGAGGGCGACCACCAGCUCAUCCAGGAGGCACUCAUCUUUGACAACAAGCACACCAACUACACCAUGGAGCACAUCCGUGUGGGCUGGGAGCAGCUGCUCACCACCAUCGCCAGGACCAUCAAUGAGGUGGAGAACCAGAUCCUGACCCGGGAUGCCAAGGGCAUUAGCCAGGAGCAGAUGAAUGAGUUCCGGGCCUCCUUCAACCACUUUGACCGGGUGAGAGCCCCAUCCUGUGCUUUCUUAGUGCAGCCCCCAACCCCUGCCCCAGGGCCCUGGAGGGCACUUCCCCGGGACGUGGGCUGCCAUGCAAGUGA
rnacentral:sRNA from 1 species